rnacentral:rRNA from 1 species
GAAUUUUAUAUUAAUAAUAAAAAAGUAUUUAUAAAAAUAUAAUAAAAGUAAUUAUUAUUAAUAUUUUAUUGGGAGGAUGAUUAAAUUUUAUAAACUUUAAUUGAAAUAAUAAUAUUAAUGAAUAGAAUAAAAUUAGAGUAUAUUAUAAUUUUAAUAUAAGAAGAAUUAAUUACCUUAGGGAUAACAGCAUAAAAUUUUUAGAAAGAUCUUAUUAAUAAAAAUAUUUGU